UUUUGUGUUCCAGCAGCGGUCGUUUAUUUCUCUCACCACUGAAGUCAUGGUUUGUUUCGUAGAAUGUCAUGUUAUUGAAUGGGAAACUCAAACUACACAUCGUCAUCUGGACAAUAUUAGGAUGGACCACACCCAAUACCUCAGUGACUACCGGAGGAGAGUCACUACUCAAGUCAAAACCUCUAUCUUUUGGAAAAGACAAGUAAGAAGGAAAAAAGAAACAAUAAGGUGGAUUUAUUGAGGAAAAAGACACAAGUAAACCAUUUGGUGGAUGUUAAGGGCACUUUUUGGACAACUCCUGUGAAAAGAUGUCGCACCUGCAGCUGAUUACCUGCAUCAUAUCUGAGUAUAAUCCCCCCUCUUGAGAGCUGACCUGAGGGUUCUCCUAACAUGACACCAGCUCCUAAAUCAGCACCAAGUGUUUCUGGACUAGAAGUGUCCGAGACUGUGUGCACCUCCAUGCGGUGCUUGCCGGACUCCACCGCGCGCGCCAGCGGCUGCAAACCGGACGCCAUGGCCGGCGCGGAGGCGACUUUUGUCCCGGUGUGCGUGUGCGUCUGCGGCUGUGGAUGAUGAUGAUGAUGAUGGUGCAAGUGGGGGUUUGGGUUUAAUGGAUCCCUCAUAGAGUUCAUCAGUCCUCCCCCCCCCGCAAAAAAAACGCAGUUUCAGUCAAUUAAGUCCCGGUUUGCGCACAUGGGUGCGAGUCAAUUUGCACCCGGGAAAAAGAGCUCGGGCUUCUUCAAACCGGCCAUCCUGACCUCGGCGGCGAGCGGCGGCUGACUAGCGGAGUGACAAGAACAGGUAGCUGAUAUUGGAGCUGGAU